rnacentral:rRNA from 1 species
UACGAAGGGGGCUAGCGUUGUUCGGAUUAACUGGGCGCAAAGGGUGCGUAGGCGGGUUUUUAAGUCAGGGGUGAAAUCCCGAGGCUCAACCUCGGAACUGCCUUUGAUACUGGAAAUCUUGAGUCUGGGAGAGGUGAGUGGAACUGCGAGUGUAGAGGUGAAAUUCGUAGAUAUUCGCAAGAACACCGGUGGCGAAGGCGGCUCACUGGCCCGGAACUGACGCUGAGGCACGAAAGCGUGGGGAGCAAACAGG